AAGAUGGCGACCGGCGCACGGGUGAGUAACACGUAUCCAACCUGCCGAUGACUCGGGGAUAGCCUUUCGAAAGAAAGAUUAAUACCCGAUGGCAUAGUUCUUCCGCAUGGUGGAACUAUUAAAGAAUUUCGGUCAUCGAUGGGGAUGCGUUCCAUUAGGUUGUUGGCGGGGUAACGGCCCACCAAGCCUUCGAUGGAUAGGGGUUCUGAGAGGAAGGUCCCCCACAUUGGAACUGAGACACGGUCCAAACUCCUACGGGAGGCAGCAUG
rnacentral:rRNA from 1 species